GGGGAAUAUUGGACAAUGGGCGAAAGCCUGAUCCAGCCAUGCCGCGUGUGUGAAGAAGGUCUUCGGAUUGUAAAGCACUUUAAGUUGGGAGGAAGGGCUGUUACCGAAUACGUGACAGUUUUGACGUUACCAACAGAAUAAGCACCGGCUAACUUCGUGCCAGCAGCCGCGGUAAUACGAAGGGUGCAAGCGUUAAUCGGAAUUACUGGGCGUAAAGCGCGCGUAGGUGGUUUGGCAAGUUGGAUGUGAAAGCCCCGGGCUCAACCUGGGAAUUGCAUCCAAAACUGCUUGGCUAGAGUACGGUAGAGGGUGGUGGAAUUUCCUGUGUAGCGGUGAAAUGCGUAGAUAUAGGAAGGAACACCAGUGGCGAAGGCGACCACCUGGACCGAUACUGACACUGAGGUGCGAAAGCGUGGGGAGCAAAC
rnacentral:rRNA from 1 species